rnacentral:misc_RNA from 1 species
GAAAUGCGAUAAGUAAUGUGAAUUGCAGAAUUCAGUGAAUCAUCGAAUCUUUGAACGCACAUUGCGCCCGCCAGCACUCUGGCGGGCAUGCCUGGUCGAGCGUCAUUUCAACCCUCAGAACCCCUUGCGGGAUCUGGCGUUGGGGAUUGGCAUCCAGCCAGCCCCGAAAUCUAGUGGCGGUCCCUCCGCGACCUCCCCUGUGCAGUAGCGAUACCUCGCAGCGGGACAGCGGUCUGACCACGCCGUAAAACCCCCAACUUCUCAAGGUUGACCUCGAAUCAGGUAGGAAUACCCGCUGAACUUAGGC